rnacentral:rRNA from 1 species
UUAUCAGUGAAAACGAGUAGGACGGGACACGUGUUAUCUUGUCUGAAUAUGGGGGGACCAUCCUCCAAGGCUAAAUACUCCUGACUGACCGAUAGUGAACCAGUACCGUGAGGGAAAGGCGAAAAGAACCCCUGUGAGGGGAGUGAAAUAGAACCUGAAACCGUGUACGUACAAGCAGUAGGAGCCCACUUGUUGGGUGACUGCGUACCUUUUGUAUAAUGGGUCAGCGACUUAAUUUUAGUAGCAAGGUUAACCGUUUAGGGGAGCCGUAGGGAAACCGAGUCUUAACUGGGCGAAAUAGUUGCUAGGAUUAGACCCGAAACCGAGUGAUCUAGCCAUGGGCAGGUUGAAGGUGAGGUAACACUUACUGGAGGACCGAACCGACUAAUGUUGAAAAAUUAGCGGAUGACUUGUGGCUAGGGGUGAAAGGCCAAUCAAACUCGGAGAUAGCUGGUUCUCCCCGAAAGCUAUUUAGGUAGCGCCUCGGACGAAUACUACUGGGGGUAGAGCACUGUUAAGGCUAGGGGGUCAUCCCGACUUACCAACCCUUUGCAAACUCCGAAUACCAGUAAGUACUAUCCGGGAGACACACGGCGGGUGCUAACGUCCGUCGUGAAGAGGGAAACAACCCAGACCGCCAGCUAAGGUCCCAAAGUUAUAGCUAAGUGGGAAACGAUGUGGGAAGGCUCAGACAGCCAGGAUGUUGGCUUAGAAGCAGCCAUCAUUUAAAGAAAGCGUAAUAGCUCACUGGUCGAGUCGGCCUGCGCGGAAGAUUUAACGGGGCUAAGCUAUACACCGAAGCUGCGGCAAUGUGCUUUUGCAUAUUGGGUAGGGGAGCGUUCUGUAAGCCGUUGAAGGUGUGCUGUAAGGCAUGCUGGAGGUAUCAGAAGUGCGAAUGCUGACAUGAGUAACGAUAAAGGGAGUGAAAAACUCCCUCGCCGGAAGAUCAAGGGUUCCUGUCCAACGUUAAUCGGGGCAGGGUAAGUCGACCCCUAAGGCGAGGCCGAAAGGCGUAGUCGAUGGGAAACGGGUUAAUAUUCCCGUACUUCUUAUAAUUGCGAUGGAGGGACGGAGAAGGCUAGGUGAGCCUGGCGACGGUUGUCCAGGUCCAAGUAUGUAGGCUGAUGGUUUAGGCAAAUCCGGACCAUCUUAAGGCUGAGAUACGAUGUCGAG